CAUACAGAGCAUGCACGACCGAAUAAACAGCUCGACAAUCGAUCUGAGUUAAAUGCAACUGAGUAGUAGGAAGUCAGGAACUGAUGCAUGGGUAUUGUUAAUUGCUCAGGUGUGGCCGGCGGAGGGCAACAAGAAGUUCGAGACCCUCUCCUACCUGCCACCUCUCUCCACGGACGAGGUCCUAAAGCAGAUCGACUACCUGAUCCGGAAGAACUGGAUUCCCUGCCUCGAGUUCAGCAAGAUCGGGUUCGUCUAUCGUGAGAACAGCACGUCUCCCUGUUACUACGACGGGCGCUACUGGACCAUGUGGAAGCUGCCCAUGUUCGGCUGCACCGAGGCCACCCAGGUGUACGCUGAGUUCGAGGAGUGCAAGAAGGCCUACCCCGACUGUUACAUCCGUAUCAUCGGCUUCGACAACAUCAAGCAGGUGCAGUGCGUCAUGUUCAUCGCCUACAAGCCCCCAGGCUCCGAGUAAGACCGGCGGCGCCAAAUAAGCUUAUCGCGCGGACCGCUCGCUCGUGAGCGACCGUGGAUGAAGUGUCUACUCGGUUUUGGCAACUUAAUUAUUUGACGCUCUGUUUAAAGUCGCCUGCUUGUUAAUUCCCUUUCUUUUCGUGUUUCCGUCCUGUGUGUAUGUACGAAUGUACAUGUAUCAACGUAGGCUGAGGAGCAUGCAUAUGUGAAUGCUAGCGCCGGCUAAACUUAUACGCAUACACAUCGUAAUAUAUUGUAUACGCAAUUCCUCCACUGCCUCAUCUUCUUGACGUAUAAUUAUAUAUCUAUGUACUAUCGGCUUGUUUGGUUGGAUGUAAUUGGUGGGUGGGAAAAAGAGUUUAGAUGCGAGAGAUUAAAAUUCUAUUAUUUGUUUAGUGGGCCUGGAAGUUUUAAUGGGACGAGAAAUGCCCACCAAUCAAUUCCCAUGGGGAGGGUGAGAAUUUGUUUUUUAAAAAGUAGAAGAUAAAUGCAUUUACAUUAUUAAUCAUGACUUAAUAUAUAACUAGCAAAAUGCCCGUGCAUUGCUAUGGUAAAAUAAUGCUAAUUGUAUUUUUAAAAACUUGUGGAUUUUUUCUGUUUCUACCACUAUAUGUUUAUUGCAUUUAGUGGAUCUAUACAUACAUCCUUAUACUCAAAAAAUCAUAUAUCCUUAUACUCAAAUAAUCAUUCAUUUCUAUCUUUUUAAUUUAUACAAGAGAUUUUCUAAGAUAAAAAAAUAGAUACAACGAUAUUGCACCCUACAAUGUAAGCAUAACUCUAAUUGUUUGUACCCUCUUAUCCGAAUUGAUGAAUACUAUAUUUCAUAUGGUCGAGCCUAGCUAACACCUGCUAGCUGAGUGUAACGUACACGUGUUAGCAGGCGUGAACACGUUCUAUUCAUUUCAAUCCAAAUGAUCCUUAAAGUUUGAAAACUAAACAUGUAGCAAAAAAAAUUUAAAAACAAUUAGCAUCAUGUGUGGAUGCAUGCACAAAAUUUGUGAGUCAAGAUUUUUUUUUAUACCAAGGAAAUAAAGGAACGUUACAUAUGACAGAUUUUAGUAAUUUGCUAAAUUAUUUGUAAUGCUCAAACAUUCAAAUAAAAAAUGUGCACCUACCACACAAGGGGAAUUUUCACCUCUAAACCCCCACGCCAAACAAAGGAUAUAAAGUCUCACUUAAACUCCCUGUUAAUUUCCUCCAAAAGACAAACAAGGGAAUGAGUAUUCCCAAGUGAAUCCCCUCCACCAGCUCUUACCACAAGUUCACAUGCCCCAUCCCAUUCAUUGCCAAUAGUACCCUAUAUGUAUUA
rnacentral:lncRNA from 1 species